rnacentral:misc_RNA from 1 species
GAUGAAGAACGCAGCGAAAUGCGAUAAGUAGUGUGAAUUGCAGAAUUCAGUGAAUCAUCGAAUCUUUGAACGCACAUUGCGCCCGCCAGUAUUCUGGCGGGCAUGCCUGUUCGAGCGUCAUUUCAACCAUCAAGCCCCAGGCUUGUGUUGGGGACCUGCGGCUGCCGCAGGCCCUGAAAACCAGUGGCGGGCUCGCUGUCACACCGGGCGUAGUAGAUUUUAUCUCGCUCAGGGCGUGCUGCGGGUUCCGGCCGUUAAAAAGCCUUUUUUACCCAAGGUUGACCUCGGAUCAGGUAGGAAUACCCGCUGAACUUAAGCAUAUCAAUAAGCGGAGGA